CCACCUGCCACGCGAACAAUGCACCUUUUCUCUCUGUCCUCCUCCUCGUCUCCUUCCCUGCCGAAUCUCAUCUAGCUCCAUUUCCAUGGCCUCGCUGCCGCCUCCUCUCCCUCCAUCGGCAGAUCCGCCAUAGCCUCCAUUUCCGUGGCGGCCUCGACACCCCUGCUCCCCACCGUCUGUCUCCUUCUCCUUCGGCGCGCCUUGGCUACGAUCAAGAAUGUCAUGCAUAACCCUCCCUUAUCCACUAAUAAAAGCCACUCUUGCUUUUGGCACAACUGGACUUAUGAAACCGAUCAUGCUGGACAAUCAAAUACUUCUUCCCUCAUCCUUAUCUACUUCGCUUUAUUUAAUAUGUUUAGUGACCCGUAAAUCAAUGUUCUACUCUCUCAUGGAAAACCUUCUUUGCAGUAAUAUGAAAGGUUAUCACAAAGCAUAGGACCCCUUCCCCAUCCUGAGCCCCUUUGUUAAUAAAAUGGUGAGGUUUGGACCUAAACAUGGUGUUUUAGUCUCACUCUCUUGUUUACAUCUUCACUUUUGAAAAGGCAUUUCGAUCCCUAAUGAGUUUUGGUGUUAAUGACAACAUAACUUGUGGACUAAUCGUGCGCCAAGUGUUUUCAGAUUUUAUAACUAGUGUUGUGACACGAUUCAUCGCCCUAAAAAAGGAAAAAAGAGUAUAAGGAUUUACGGCCUUUUACUUUAUUGAGUCGUAUGAAAAUCCGUACUAUAAAGAGAGAGUCCAUUUGGGAACACUUUGUGUGAAUCAACUUCAUGUACAUAAAUCUACUAAAUUGCACCCACAUAAAGCCUAAACCCAGUUUUGAGUUGAGAGUUGUUGUUAUCCUGCUAAGCCUGUCAGACUUUUUCAGAGUUAGCCGGUACUACCGCCUAAAUAGCCGGAGGUUCCGGUGGGCGGAAGUUCUGCCCUGGUACUGGUCAGGUACUGAAACGCUACUGGAAUCCUACUACGUAUAGCGGUAGGAGACCGGUAGCAGGGCAAAAGUUCUACCCCCUAGAACUUCCGGUCCUCUACCGCCCUGGUACUGGUGUUACUGAAAUGUGUCUUAACGGUUGGAUUUCGAUGAGGUAUAAAAGGGGCUUCGUCCCCCAACGGGUUUCUUAGCCCGAGCACACCUAGUUCAUCCCCGUUCUCUCACUCAAGAACACCAAGAGCUUCAAAUCUAGUUGUGGAUUCGUGCCCUUCCACUUGUUUGUAAAGGUUUGGCGUUCGCCUUCAAGGAAGCCAUUAGUGGAACUCACCUCGCCUUUGUGAUGUUGUGAGAGCUCAUCCCACCUUUGUGGUGUGGUGAGUUGGAGAAUAGAGUGAGCCUUCGUGGCGUUUCUUCCUUUGUUAUAGAGCACUCCUCCAAACGGAGACGUACACCGAUCCCAAUAGGUGGAACUCCGGUGAAAUCUUCGUCUUCCUGUGUGCUAUCAUACUUGUCCCUUUACUUACUUGUUUUACUUCAUUGUCUAUACUUUGGUUCGGCUAGUGCUUCGGCUAUUGCACUUCAUACUAGGGUUGCAUUCCUUUUAGAGAAUCUUGUGAACUCUAAGAUUAAGUGUUUGUAUCUUUCAAGAAAAUAAAAUUAAAAAGUAAAAUUUGUUAGUCGCCUAUUCACCCCUCCGCUCUAGUCAACCAUACUGAUCUUUCAAUUGGUAUCAGAGCCUCGUCUCUUAAUUAGGGCUUUACCGCUCUUCAGAGUAUGGCCAGCGAUGAUGGGGAACCCACCAUGAAACCCCAAGAAACCGAGGUGAUAGAUGAUAAUGCUCCACUAACUUUUAAAUCCAUCAAAUUGCUUUUGGAUAGCAUGCAAAAAGUGAUUCUAGAUAAUGUGGACAAAAAGAUUAGUUAGCACCUACCUAGCAAAGCCUCUUCUUCUUCUAGCGAGUCCGUCCAUGUCAAGCCACCAAGUGCGGUGGAUUUGACUAAGGAAGAUUCGGAUGACGAAGCCCGUAAAAAGGCUAAGGCUAUCAAAGAGAGUGCUACCAAAUCCCAAGGUAGGGGUGGCUAUGGGUUGUAUAGUGAGGAGCCACCAUAAUUUGCCACCUAUGUACAACCAAGGUGAUCCCCCCAUGCUAACAUCUACUAACUACAUUGAUUGGUUUCAUUCCAUGAGGACUCACUUCAAGAGCACAUCAACGGAGUUGUGAAGAAUUGUUGAUGAAGGUUACUUUGUUUAUGAUCCAAAGAACAUGUCGCCAAGAGAGUAUGUCGACAAUCAACUCAAUGAGCAUGCCAUUGGAAUGCUCCUAAAUGCUCUACCUUUGGAGUAUAGAACCUAUGUCCGUGGAGUUGAUUCCGCUAGAGAUGCUUGGAAGCUAAUUGGUGAUCACUUUGACAACAAUGAGAGUGUCAAGAAAUCAAAGUUUGAAGUGGUCAUCAAGGAAUGCAAGAAUUUCUUCAUGAAGGAUGGAGAGGUUCCAGAGGAGCUAUAUAGAAAGUCAUCACUCUUGAAGCCAAGAUGAAAGACCAUGAAAGUCGUGACAUCAAUGAUGAAUGGAUCAAGCGUCUGUCAUAGCACGGGCUUUGACACCGGGGAUGCGCGAGCACCCCCUUUUUGGUUCGGCAGUGGGCGACGGGGAUCGCUCCGGCGAUCGCCGGCGGGCCAAUGCGAAGCGCUACAGCAUGCGAUGAGCACGGACACGCGUUUUACCCAGGUUCGGGCCACCCGGAGGUGUAAAACCCUACGUCCUGCUAGUCUGAGCUCAUAUUGACGGAAGAACAAGUGCUUACAAGUUGUCGGGGGGAGCUCCCGGGUGCUCUCUUCUUUGGCUAAGUGUCCCUUGCUACUUUGGGCUACUGCUACUGAAGUACUGCUAGUUGGUCAGCGAACGAACCAACGAGUCAACCAUGCAACUAUCCACCCCCUUUGACCGCUGGCGUGGGUCCUCCUCUUAUAGCCAAGGGGAUACCACAUGUGCCACGGUGCAUGGUUUACAAGUGGCGAGAAGGAAGCUCGGCAGCUCACGCUGGCAUACAUGCAAGAAUACUAGCCUCGCAGCUAGGGGUCUAAGGCCUAAAAACUACUCUUGGACAACCACUGUUCGCUUGACUUGACAGGGAACCCCCUCCCUGUCGGUUCAUUUAAUGCGCCGUGCGCCUCACUCCUUGUCCUGACGAACCCUGCGUGCUGGGUGCCCGCCGUGCGCCCAGGUGGCGCCGCAGUCCUGUUUACUCGGCCCCGCCCUUGCAACGGAAACCUGCGCCCGGGAGCGCCCCUCCCGGGAGGUGCCCAGGCAUGAAUUCUCCCCCGAAGCCCCGCUAGCCCUGCCGGGCUGGUAGCUUGCCGGGCAGCUUGUACACUGCCGCCCGGGGUGAGAUCCUCCCGGGAAGCAGGCAAGGCGACCCGCGCGUCGUGCAGCGGUGGUACCCCGGGUGCCACUGGUGCGAUAGUAGCCCCCGGGCGUGGGCCGGCAACGUCUUCUUCCGGGCGGACUCCUCCCUGGUCGGUUGCCGGGCUACGCCCUUAACCGACGCGUGGGUCCUGAGUCGUCUCGGGCCCGCGUCUUUCCGCCAUCUCAAGGACCCCGCCGUUACGGGCGAAGUAGUGGGUGCGAAAUUUCUGCCGUAACCUCCCCCUUAAACUUGGGAAGUUAAGGCCACUCUUCGCAUUAUCCCUUUGAUUAGUAAUUAUUCCAACGCACCCGUAGGGUAUGGAUGCGACCGUUACCGAGCAGCGGGGUGCUUUAAGGCCCCACUGCUACGCUGAGGCGUGAACACUUAGCCCCUCGAUGAUCACAUGGAUCUUGCGGCUCAAGCUUUUUGGAAGAACAAGAAGUUUGUCAAGUCCAACACCUUCAACCCCAACAACUAGUACAACAAGGGAACUUCAAGCUCCAAGCCCAAAAGUCAAAAAUCUCGUAAAUGCUAUAAUUGUGGUAAUAAUGAUCAUUUCGUUGCAGAUUGUAUCUAUGAGAGGAGUGAGGAGAAUGGUGGUCGUCUCAUCCUUAAAGGGAAGACCAAGUCCUUCUUCAACAAGAAGCCAACGAAAAAGAGCCAACCAAGAAUGCUUCUUGUUCAACAAAAAUAUACUUUGCGAAGAUGAUGAUGAUGAGGAAGAGACCAACGAAAAAGAGCCAACCAAGAAUGCUUCUUGUUCAACAUUGCCAUUGCUCCUUCACUUCUAUCUCUCUUUGACUCCCCCAAUGAGAACAAGAACCACUCACCCAAGUGAUUCAUGGCCAAGACCUCUUCGGUAAUCCCUCCUCCCAUCAAGAAUGUCAUUCCUAAGAGUUUAUCUCUAUUUGAUUGUGUGGAGGAGAAUAGUGUUGUUAAGCAUAACAUGAAUGAGUUCGAGAUCUUCAUGGCAAGCUUGGAAGGUGGGACCAAAAAGAGGUUUGAGUGCCUCUUGGAAAAACUAGGUGAAGUUCAACCUAUUAUUGAAGAACAUGAUGAGCUCAUGGAUAAGAAGGUAAGACUUGAGUGCGUUGCCGCUCAUGAGAUUGCGGAGCUUAAUGAAGCUCUUGAGGAAGAACAAACAAAUAGGUAAGCAAUUGAGGAGUCAGUUACUAAUGAACUUGCAAAAGUUAAAGAUUCCUAUAAUAAUGCUAUGUCCCUUGCUAAUGAUUACUUGGGUAGGAUAUGUGAAGUUGAGAAUGGUCAUAGAAACCUCCUUGAGGACUUUCACAAACUUGGAAAGGAUCACAAGUCCUUGACAAGUGAGUACAAGUCUCUCAAAGAGUCUUGUGAUCAUCUUCUAUAUUCUCUUAUUAAGGAGUUAAUUUCUAAUGAUAAAGAUGCUUCAACUAACCCUUGUCAUAAGCAUACAUCUAUGAUUGAGAAGAAUGCUAUGUUGAAGGCUCAACUUUAAAAGGGCCUAGCCACUUGCUUCCAAGGGGAGAAAAACCUCCAUGAUCUUUUGAAUGAUCAUAGAAAAGCUUUUGGAUUGGAGGAAAUUGGGUAUAACCCCAAUGAGAAGAGCAACAACAAGAAGAAGACCAAGGCUCCUCCCCACACUAAUGUUUAUUUUGUGAAGGAAGGGGAGGUGGCCAAGGAGAAGCGAAAGAACAAGAAGGGUGGUAAGGCCACCUAUGAUAAUAGUGCCGGGAAUUUCAAUCUCUCAUAUGUUCUUUGUCAUACUAAUGAUGGGCAUGUUUAUGCCAAAUUUGUUGGUUCUCGUUAUGAAUAUGUUCAUUGGUCUAUUUGGGUUCCUAAGACUCUUGUUGCUAACGCUAAAUGACCCAUUCAAAAAUGGGUACCUAAAACCAAAGCUUAAACUUGUAGGAGAUUGCUUUCGGUGGAUCUUCAUGGAUAGUGGAUAGUGGAUGCACUAAUCAUAUGACCAGGAGCAAAGAAUUGCUUGUGGACACUAAAAUGAGUAUAUUAAGGUCCAAGCAAGUUACAUUUGGAGAUUCUUUACAAUCAACUGUAUUGGGACUAGGCAAGGUUGUCAUCUCUCCGGAUACAUCCAUUGAGAAUGUCAUGCUUGUUGAUUCCCUUUCAUACAAUUUACUUUCGGUACUUCAACUUGCACAUAUGGGUUUUUAUUCCUUCUUUGGCACAACUAGUGUGACCCUUUUGUGGAGCAAGACUCUUAAAGUAGCCUUUGUCUCUAUGUGGUAGAUUUCGGUAAAAAACCCACUAGAGAAGAAACAUGUCUAAUGGCUAAAGUUGAUGUGGGUUGGCUAUGGCAUCGCCGACUAGCCCAUGUCAAUAUGAGAUCUUUGCAAAGUCUCCUCAAAGGUGAGCAUGUGCUAGGACUAACCAAUGUUUCAUUUAAUAAAGACCGUGUGUGUAGUUCUUGUAUUGAAGGGAAGGUACAUGAGAAGGCACAUCACCACAAGACAAUUAUCACUUCAACGAGGCCUUUGGAGCUCCUUCAUAUGGAUCUCUUCGGUCCUCCUACAUAUGAUAGUUUUGGUGGUAAGAAAUAUUGUUUGGUUAUUGUUGAUGACUAUUCUAAGUACACUUGGGUAUAUUUCUUCAAGCACAAGACUGAGACCCAACAAACCGUCAUCGACUUUGCCAAUGAAGCCCAACGCCAAUACAAUGCAAAGAUUAUGAUUAUAAGGAGUGAUAAUGGCUCCGAGUUCAAGAAUUACACCUUGAUUGAGUUUUUGAGUGAUGAGGGUAUCAAAAGACAAUAUUCCGCUGCUUAAACCCCUCAACAAAAUGGUGUAGCGGAGAGGAAGAAUAUAACUCUCAUGGAUGUGGCAAGAACAAUGUUGGCGGAGUUUAAGUCUCCAUACAACUUUUGGGACGAAGCAAUCAACACCGCAUGCCAUGCUACUAAACGCCUCUAUCUUCGCAAGAUAUUGAACAAGACACCUUAUGAAAUUCUCACGGGACGCAAGCCCAACCUCAAGUACUUUCGGGUAUUCGGUUGUAAGUGUUUCGUACUUAAGAAAAGUGUUCGUUAAUCUAAAUUUGAGCCUAAAACUUAUGAGGGCAUAUUUGUUGGCUAUGCAUUAAACUCCCACACUUAUAAAGUCUACAACAAAUCCACCGGAUGUGUUGAAAAAUCUUGUGAUGUGGAGUUUGAUGAGAAUAAUGGCUCCCAUGUGGGACAAGUUGAUGUUGUGUAUGUAGAUGAUGAAAUUCCUCCCCAAGCCAUACGAAGAAUGGGCAUAGGUCAAAUUAUGCCCGUUGAGGAUCCCUGAGUGGAAGAAGGAGAAGGACAAUUCUCUACUCAAGUGGAGCCCUCAUCUCCACAAGAUCCACAAGCUAGCCAAGAACAAGUUCCUCAUGUGGAUGAACAAGUUGAUCAAGGGCAAGAUCAAGCAAAUGUUGAUGUUGGUGAUUCUUCACCAAAUGAUGUCCAAGAUCAAGAUGUUCAAGCUUCCAUUGAGCCUCAAGAUUUAUCUCAAGAAGCUAUGGAACGUCGAGCCAUGAAGAUUGCCUCACGACUUCAACGUCAAGAACAUACCUUGGACAGUGUCCUAGGAAGUGUGAGGAAAGAGGUAACUACUCAUAGACAAUUAGCUAACUUUUGUGAACAUCAUGAUUUUGUCUGUUGUGUUGAGCCCCAAAAGAUAUAAGAAGCACUCGAGGAUCCGGAUUGGUUUAAUGCCAUGCAUGAAGAGUUGAAUAACUUCGAGCGCAAUAGACUAUGGUCAUUGGUGGAAAGACCAAAAGAUUGCAAGAAUGUCAUUGGCACCAAAUGGAUAUUCAAGAACAAGCAAGAUGCACUUGGACAAGUGACAAGGAAACAAGGCAAGAUUGGUGAAUCAAGGUUUCUCCCAACUCGAGGGUAUUGACUACGGUGAAACUUUCGCUCCCGUUGCUCGCCUUGAAUCUAUUCGUAUCUUGCUUGCAUAUGCAUCACAUCAUAACAUUACUUUGCAACAAAUGGAUGUGAAAAGUGCAUUUCUAAAUGGUCCACUAAAUGAGUUGGUAUAUGUCAAACAACCACCGGGGUUUGAGGACCCUCAAUUUCCUAACCACAUGUACAAACUUGAAAAAGCCCUUUAUGGUCUCAAACAAGCACCUCGAGGUUGGUAUGAGCACCUAAAGGAGCUACUAGUGGAUCGUGGUUUUGAAAUUGGGGUAAUUGACCCCACUCUUUUUACCAAGAUGGUUGGUGGUGAUUUGUUUAUAUGCCAACUAUAUGUUGAUGACAUUAUAUUGGGUUCUACUAAUGGUGUGUUCAAUGAUGAUCAAUUUGCUAAGCUAAUGGCUGAAAAGUUUGAGAUGUCUAUGAUGGGUAAAUUGGAGUUCUUCUUUGGAUUUGAAAUCAAGCAAUUGAGAGGAGCAAUCUUUAUUAAUCAAGCCAAAUACACCCAAGACAUGCUAAAGAGAUUCAAGAUGCAUGAUACCAAGAGUGCCAAGACCCCAAUGCCUACAUCAAGUUCUCUUGAUCUCGAUCCCAAUGGUAAAUAUGUGGAUCAAAAGGUAUAUCGUUCUAUGAUUGGUUCUUUGCUUUACCUUUGUGCAUCUAGACCGGAUAUUAUGUUGAGUGUGGGUCAAAAGAAUCUUUAAAUAUUUGGUUCAUACCCCAAACUUUGGUUUAUGGUAUCCUAAAGGAUCAAGUUUCAAGAUCAUGGGAUAUUCGGAUUCGGAUUGGGCGGGAGACAAAGUGGAUAGGAAGUCAACUUCCAGGACGUGCCAAUUUCUUGGUAGGUCGUUCGUAAGUUGGUCCUUUAAGAAGCAAAAUUGUGUGUCUCUCUCCACGACGGAAGCCGAGUAUGUAGCCGCCGCAAGUUGUUGUGCACAAUUAUUAUGGAUGAGGCCAACAUUGUUGGACUAUGGAAUCACUUGUGCCUCUUUUAUGUGACAACGAGAGUGCAAUCAAGAUAGCCCACAACCCCGUGCAACAUAGCAAGACGAAGCAUAUUGAGAUUUGUCAUCAUUUCAUUCGAGAGCACGUGGCCCAUUGUGAUAUUGAUCUCUCUUAUGUUGCCACCGGUAGGCAACUAGCGGAUGUUUUCACGAAGCCACUUGAUGGAGCAAGAUUUCGGGAGUUAAGGCAUGAGCUAAAUAUCCUAGAUUCUAGUGUUGUGGUUUGAUGAACUUGCACCCGUACCCACGGUUAACAUUUGUCUAGUUUGGAUGUGCGCAUGGAUGUAGGGGGAGCAUUGCUCAAUUCAUGGGCAAAUGCUACCCUUACUAUGCUAACAUUAAUUUCAUACAUUGAGCUUCAAUGUGAGUUUUGAGUCUUGAGCCCAAGAAUCUAUAUUCGCGGUGUCAAGCUCAUACAUACUCAAAUAUGGUCGCCUAGGCCACCGCGCUCACUUUUGUGAGGUUGGUUCCUUUUUAAUCCAUUGCAAAUCUUGUAAGUCAAUAUAUGACGUUAUAUGCUUAUAUAUGGAGAAGUACUCAAUUCUUGGUAUUUAAAGUUGCAUCUUGCAAGAUUGAGUAUACACAUCCCUAUUAACCACUUUGUGUGUGCCUUCCAUCCCAAGCCUAUUCUUAUCUUACAACAUUUCUAGUCUAGAUCACAAGUGGGCGGUCCUACCGGCUAUUAACCGGUAGUUCCGGCGGGCGGUAGUUCCGGCUAAUUUGCGGUACUACCGCCCAUGGCAGCUUCGUUUGGUAUAAAAGGGAGUGGGGCCGACCAAGUGGGGGUUUUCUUCCCCACUCAUCCCGUGCCCAACUCCCAUCUCCACUGCCAACCACCACGGUGAAGCUCUUCCCCAAGUUGAGGCUUGGAUCUAGCGGAACUACCGCUUAAUCUUGCAUCUCUUCUAAGGAAUUCGUUCUCCUUGAUCUCCUCUACCAUGAAGUCCAGUAAGUUUUCCUUUUCCCCUUCUCUAGUGUUCUAAUUUUGGAACCCUAUGUUUGAGGAGAGAGAAGAUGGACUAGAUAUUCGUAGAAUCAGUGUUAGAUAUUCUUCAGUGCUUGAGUUGCAUGAACCAUGAGAGUUGGUUUAGGUUCAGAUUUGGGAUUCAAACCCAAACCCUAGCUACUGCGUAUCGCCGGUACUACCGCUUAUUUUAGCGGUACUACCGCUGGGCGGUACCACCGGCUAAUUAGGCGGAGCCUCCGCCUGUUUCUGAACUGAUAUCAAUACUGCUGCAAUAUUUAUGCUCCUCAUUCCAUUUUCUUGUUGAACUUGUGCUUAUCUCCUGUCCCUCGCAUCUGUUCUCUUAUUCACAGGAGGUGGAGCUAGUUCUAGCAAAGGUGAUAAAGGCAAAGGCAUCAAGCGAAGGCACUCAGCUAUCAAGAAACCAACCAAAGCUCAGCAUGAUCGGAUCAUUGAGGAGGAUAUUCUGGAACCAGCCCGCAAGUCCCGCUCCAAGUCUACCGGCAAGCAACAUAUCCAGUCCAUCAAGGAGUACUCCACUCAUGAGUUCAAGGAAGCAAGGAUUGUUAAUCCGUAUCCUGAGGACAUUGCUGAGGGUGAAUUCAUUCCAAAUGGGUUCUAUACUGUGUUUCAGAAGCAAAUCUUUGACGAGCUCUAUACCUCGGGUGACACUUUCAAGCUUGUCACACAAUGUGCCAUUAACAUCCCUCACAUGCGUCGGAACAAGUACUUUGAGGAGGCUCUUGAACUAUGUGAGAAGUUUGGUCUCCUUGACACCAUGGAGUUCCAACAAGAGUACAAUGUCUUCUUUGUUGCUCAAUUUUAUGCCACAAUGCACUUUGGGACAGAUGAGCACCGUUCUAUCACUUGGAUCACAGGAAAGCAUGUUUGCAAGAGCAAUUGGGCUGAGUUUGCCACCAUCCUAGGCUAUGAAAAUCAUGGCAAUGAGAUUGCUAGUGGUUUCCGAGUUCAUGGGGCAGAUUAUCCUAUGGAUAAGAAAGAAAUGAAGCCACUAUACAUUGGAGGGAGAGCUGACCUUGGGAAGUCAAAUGACCUUUUACCUGUGUAUGACAUUAUGCAUAGGAUUUAUAGAGAGAACAUUGGAGUCAAAGAAGGAAACAUUGAUGUGUUACAUGGUUUUCUUGGUGAUCUUAUGAUUUGGACUCAUAGGAAGAAGGAUGCUAAUGAGAGGUUGGAUGUCAUGUACUAUUUUUGGCAUGAGAUGAAUGGACUUGUCAACUAUCAACGGUCACCCACUUAUGCACCAUAUGUCAUGACUUUGCUCAUCAACAAGGCCAACAUUCCUAAAGAUACACCAUUGUCCAAGCACUUGUCCAAAAGGUUGAUGAUCAAGAAGCAUAAUAGAUCAAUGUUUGAUGAAGAAGAAGAAGCGGUGGAGAGUGAUGCGGAUGACGAAGACUUUGAGAUUGUCCCCCACACUCGUACUAGCAAGCAUAUAGAGAGUUGGAUAAAGGCCAUGAGCCGCAAAUGAAGCAAAUCUUUUGCAUCCAACAAGAUUUUGAGAAGAAGAUGUAUACUGCCCAUGUUGAGUCAAAAGGCCAUUUGUCGCCAAUUGGACAUCCCUUAUCCUAGUGGUAGUGAGGAGAUUGUUACUCCUUUCAAGAAAUGGAAGUCCAAGCACACCUCUACAUGGAUUGAAGAGAUGGAUCAAGAGGAGAGCCCCUCCGAAGACCCAAGAACAAGAAGAGGAAGACAAUGUCACCAAUGAUGAUGAUGACAUUGAAGAUGAUGAAAAUGAUGAGUGAUCCCUUGUGUUGUGCUUGCUCCUUGGGACGUUCUUCCGUUUUUGGUGUCUUUGAUGCCAAAGGGGGAGAGAGUUAGUUAGGAGUAGGAGUAGAACGGGGAUUUGCAAGGUUUUAUCAAACUUUUUAUUGCAUGAGAACUAAGUUUGUGAACUUUAUGUGUGUGAAAUGCCCUUUGUGGCAUUUGUUAUCUAUUUGUGAGACAUGUUGAACUUUAUGCAUGAUAGUAAUAGCUAGCCACAUUAUGACUUGCUCUAUGCAUUGUGGUUAUCCUUUAUAUAUCUUGUCUCACCAAUCUUGUGUGGAGAUUUGUUUAUUUGUGCCUUUAUAGAUUUGCUCCAUCACAAGAUCUCAUUGCAAAGAUAAGCUCCUUGUGUGAUUCAUUCUUACUUAUGUGCCUCUAGCAGGUAUGGUCUUUAUCUCUUUUAAAUGAAUCAUUCAUAUCUUAAGGAAGUGUUAAUUGGAAUAUCUUUGAUCCUUUGCAAUUGAAUGUUAGCUUAUAAAAUCUAGGGGGGGCGUUUUUCCUCGCAUGUAUAUGCACUUUGCAUUUCAAAAGCAAAAUCAAAAUAGUGCAUAUAGUUAGGGGGAGCCCGUCUAUAUUUUAUUAGCUUGUGCUAAAGCUUUAUUCUCAUAUCUUAUUUGCAAAUCGUUGUGUUGUCAUCAAGCACCAAAAAGGGGGAUAUUGAAAGGGCAUUUCGAUCCCUAAUGAGUUUUGGUGUUAAUGACAACAUAACUUGUGAACUAAUCGUGCGCCAAGUGUUUUCAGAUUUUAUAACUUGUGGACUAAUCGUGCGCCAAGUGUUUUCAGAUUUUAUAACUUGUGGGCUAAUCGUGCACCAAGUGUUUUCAGAUUUUAUAAUUAGUGUUGUGACACGAUUCAUCGCCCUAAAAAAGGAAAGAAGAGUAUAAGGAUUUACGGCUUUUUACUUCAUUGAGUCGUAAGAAAAUCCGUACUAUAAAGAGAGAGUCCAUUUGGGAACGCUUUGUGUGAAUCAACUUCACGUACACAAAUCUACUAAAUUGCACCCACAUAAAGUCUAAACCCAGUUUUGAGUUGGGAGUUGUUGUUAUCCUGCUAAGGCUGUCAGACUUUUUCAGAGUUAGCCGGUAUUACCGCCUAAAUAGCCGGAGGUUCCGGUGGGCGAAAGUUCUGCCUUGGUACUGGUCAGGUACUGAAACGCUACUGGAAUCCUACUGCGUAUAGCGGUAGGAGACCGGUAGCAGGGCGGAAGUUCUCCGGUCCUCUACCGCCUUGGUACUGGUGUUACUGAAAUGUGUCUUAACGGUUGGAUUUCGAUGAGGUAUAAAAGGGGCUUCGUCCCCCAACGGGUUUCUUAGCCCGAGCACACCCAGUUCAUCCCUGUUCUCUCACUCAAGAACACCAAGAGUUUCAAAUCUUGAGAUCUCUCUCCCUAGUGCAUCCCCCAAGCCAAUAUUUUGAGGAAGGGUUGAGAAGAGCUCGAUCUAGGGUUUCACCAAAUCAAAAGUUGAUUCCCCUCGUUUUCCUUGGUGGAUUUUGUUACUCUUGGGAUUUUGGGAUCCCUAGCCGGAAGGUGUCUCUUCAAGCACUCUAAUCUUGUGAGGAGGUGUUUGAGGAUUCGGAAAGGAGUCUCCAAUUUAGUUGUGAAUUCAUGCCCUUCUCCUUGUUUGUAAAGGUUCGGCGUUCGCCUUCAAGGAAGUCAUUAGUAGAACUCACCUCGCCUUUGUGAUGUUGUGAGAGCUCAUCCCACCUUUGUGGUGUGGUGAGUUGGAGAAUAGAGUGAGCCUUCGUGGCGUCUCUCCAUUUGUUAUAGAGCACUCCUCCAAACGGAGACGUACACCGAUCCCAAUAGGUGGAACUCCGGUGAAAUCUUCGUCUUUCCGUGUGGUAUCAUACUUGCCCCUUAGUUACUUGUUUUACUUCAUUGUCUAUACUUUGCUUCAGUAGUGUUUCGGUUAUUGCACUUUAUACUAGGGUUGCAUUCCUUUUAGAGAAUCUAGUGAACUCUAGAAUUAAGUGUUUGUAUCUUUCACGUAAAGAUAAUUAAAAAGUAAAAUUUGUUAGUUGCCUAUUCAUCCCCCCACUCUAGUCGACCAUACCGAUCUUUCAAUUGGUAUCAGAGCCUCGUCUCUUAAUUAGAGCUUUACCGCUCUUCAGAGUAUGGCCAAUGAUGAUGUGGAACCCACCAUGAAACCCCAAGAAACCGAGGUGAUAGAUGAUAAUGCUCCACUAACUUUUAAAUCCAUCAAAUUGCUUUUGGAUCAACUUCAACCCUAACGACUAGUACAACAAGAGAGCUUCAAGCUCCAAGCCCAAAGGUCAAAAAUCUCGUAAAUGCUAUAAUUAUGGUAAUGAUGACCAUUUCGUUACAGAUUGUAUCUAUGAGAGGAAAAUAUAGCCAUACCAAAGAAAAAAGAAAAUAUAGCCAUACCAAAGAAAAUAUUGCAAAAAUAAUUUGACAAGCUAAAUUUUGCUGAGAUUUGAUUGGUUGAUUGUUCACAUUGGGCAUUGGACAUGAACUCGCUACUGAAUACGCCUUCGGGUCCUGCCUUCCCCGUCUGGCCCUCCAAUUCAACCCAGGCCGCUCGCGCGGGAAAGCCCCCAAACCCACCGCAGCGCGCGCCAAAAUGCCGCCGCCGCCGCGGCUAGACUUCCCGGCGUUCCCGUUCACGCCGUACCCGAUCCAGUCGGAGUUCAUGUCCUUCCUCUAUGCCGCUCUGUCCUCCGGCCCCCGCGCCCUCGCUCUCCUCGAGAGCCCCACCGGUAAGCUCUCCCCCACCUUUCCCUCGUCCUCACCUGCCCCCCCUCUCAAAACCCUAACUUCAAUGUCGCCGCAGGCACCGGAAAGACCCUCAGCAUCAUCUGCAGCGCGCUUCAGUGGCUCGUCGACCACCGCGAAGCCGCUGGGCGGGGCCACCCCGAUCAGGAAAAUGGCUCUGCCACCGUUGCCGGCGGUGGCGCAGGCGACGACGACGAGCCCGACUGGAUGCGGGAUUUCACCCCGCUGCUGCCGAAACCAGAGAAUAGAAAGAAGACAAAGCCUCACCCCGCGAGGAGGCAGGAACCAAGGAACGCAAAGGAUUCUGAGAAAUCCGAAGGAAUUGGGGGCAACGACAGCGAGGAGGAAUUUUUGCUGGUCGAAUACGAUAGUGAUGACGAAGAGGGCACAAGGCGGCAGUCCGGGAAGCGGGCGCAUUGUGGUGGUGGUAGUAGUAGUGAGAGUGAGGAUGACGAGGGUGAAGAGGAUGAGGCCGAGGUGACACCCAAGGUGUACUUCACUAGCCGCACACAUUCGCAGUUAUCACAGUUUGUUGGGGAGCUGAAGAAGACACAGUUCUCAGCGAAGCUCAGGAUGGUAUGCUUGGGAUCCCGGAUGAACUUGUGCAUUAACAAUGGUGAGUGGAUUAGUUUGUUACCACUAUUCUUUUACUUUAGGGUGGCGCGCGGGAAUUGGGAUGAGUUGAUCUGGCAUACAUUUGCUUGCAGAUGUUCGGAAGCUGGGGAGCGCGAAUCGGAUCAAUGAGAGGUGCUUGGAAUUGCAGAAGAAUAAGAAGAGCAGCAAAAUUAAGGUCUGCUAAUUAGGUCCAUUUUUUGUUUUAACCCAAAUUUAGUUGUUUCUUUCGCGUUUAUAGCCUGGCAUGCUUACAUGAUUGAUAGGUAUGAUUGGUAUUACUAUUAUCUACUGAUCGUAAUUUCUUCAGAAGCUCUAAUGGAACCAUGUUUUUGUUGAUUCUCAGUGGAAAUAUACUCUAGACAUGCACUGAUGUACUUCCAUCCAAUGUGCUAGUAAUCAUCUUUUGUCUUAUGUUGCCCAUAUGCUGUUUGCACAGGAAUCAAGUGGUUGGUUAUCAUAUUACAAAUUUUGGGUGCUUUAAAACCAAUGCUUCAUUUGUGAACUACUAAUUACUUGAGCGGCGAUGAAUAUUCAGGUUGAUGGUGAUAACCAAAAGGCGAGACAAGCAAAGAUAUCUUGUCAGUGUCCAAUGUUAAGAAAGAGAAGUCUUCAGAAAGAAUUCAGGAGUGAAGUGUCAGCGAAUGGUGCAUUGGACAUUGAGGAUUUGGCACAAAUAGGGAAGAAGAUUGGAACAUGUCCGUACUACGGUGUGCGUGACAUGGUCCCCGCAGCUGAUCUUGUAGUACUUCCUUACCAGUCUUUGUUGCUGAAGUCUGCUAGAGAAUCACUUGGCCUUAAUCUGAAGAACAGUGUUAUCAUCAUAGAUGAGGCUCACAACUUAGCAGACUCCCUCACUAGCAUGUACAACUCGAAGGUCACAUGCCCUCAGGUUACACUUCCUGAUAAUUGAACUGUUCCUCACAGUAUGGCAGCAUCAUUUUUAUUCUCAGUUAUAGAUGUUUACAUCUAUUAAAAACUGCCUUUUGGUGCAUUUCGUUCCACGAGCAUAGUUUUUUUUAUACCGUUCCAUCCUUUCUAUUAAUUUCAGAAUUAUUCCUACUGCAUAACUGGAUUCUAGCUUCAUAAGUUAAUUUCCUUUAAAACAUCAAUAGUGUUAUCGAAGAUUCAAACACUGUAAGGAGGUUUGCCAUUUAAUGGACCUAACGUAAAGGAGUUUUCUGGUAGAGGUUUUGCCUGUGCUCACAUGUUUCAUUGUGGCAAGGUAUUAAAAAUAACAUUCUGCGGUCCAUGUGCUUGUAGAAAAUUUCCUUCUGAAAGCAAAUUCGAUUCGCUAAUGAACUGUGUUUGUUCCCUUCCAAGUGUAGAAAUGAACUUCAUUGUCUGAUUAUCGUUUUCCUUUUGCAUUGCUAGUUGAGGGCAGCUCUUUCGCACCUAGAGGCAUACCUCGAUAGAUUUCAAAAUGUUUUGGGAGCUGGAAAUCGACGUUACAUCCAGACCUUGAUCGUUUUAACACGGUCGUUCCAGCGAGUUCUGAUGAGUGGUGAAGAUGGUUCCUGCGCUGUGACCUCUGUCACUGUAAACAAUUUCUUAUUCUCCCUUGAUAUUGAUAACAUAAACAUAGUAAAACUUUGUCAGUAUCUGAAGGAAAGCAAUAUAAUCCAUAAGGUGAACUAUUUCCUCCCCUACAUGUCUGUUCAGUCUUGUUGUGUCUAGAUCCAUUUACUAUUUAUUUGCAGGUUAGUGGAUACGCCAACAAGUUGAUUAUUACUCAAGAUGGUGCAAGCAAUUUGAAUCAUCAGCAGCAACAUGAUGAAGGAAGCACUAUAUCAAGCUUUCAGGCAGUGGCUAACUUUUUACGCUCCUUACUGAAUAGCAAUGUGGAUGGAAGAAUUAUAGUUGCACGACAGAAGCCCGGUGGACAACCUGAAGAUGCAUAUCUUAAAUUUAUUAUGCUUUGUCCAGAGAAAAUAUUUUCAGAGGUACUGUAACCUUUCUCUGUAUGUUGCUUGGAAAUAGCAGAUGUCAUAUUUCACGAAAGUAUUUAUAUAUCUUUUCUAUCGCAGGUUACAGAAGAUGCACAUGCAGUUGUUAUGGCUGGUGGAACCCUGCAGCCUAUUGAAGAAACAAGGUUGCGCUUGUUUCCAAGCUUAUCGACUAGUGAUGUAAAAUUCUUCUCAUGCAACCAUAUUGUUCCAGCGGAGAGUAUUCUGCCCAUAGCUGUUACUCGUGGACCGUCAGGCAUGGAAUUUGAUUUCAGCUUCGGUUCAAGGCGGUCCCCUGCCAUGGUUUGUAUACCUCAAGUCAUUUCUCCUUUGCGUUUGCUAGUCUAGUAUAUACUAAGAAUUAAAUGUAAUGAGUUUAUCUUGCAGUCGACUGCUUUUUCAUUAAUAUAUAAAUAUGACCGCACAGAUAUUUUGAACAAAAGAAUCAGCACUCUCUUUGCAGCUUUAAAUCAAUGGGGCUCUCUUUGCUUUGUAACCUUCGCUAUUUUAGAACUUGCUCCAAAAGACAUGCCUAUCCUGGGUUAUCCUGUCGUAUUUUAUUUGAAUAUAAAUUUUAGACUUCUAAAUGAGUUGCAUGUAUUGAUGGAUGCAAAAAUGUCACCAAUGGCCAAGUUCUGUUUCUUUAGAAAAAUAAUUUACUGUGUUAAUUUACAAUUUAUGUUUUUCCUUGUGUGGACUCUUUUUUGUAUGAUGAUUUGGCAUACUUAAAAGCAUGCCAUGUUUUGUGCCCACUGUACAGAUCGAAGAGCUUGGACGUUUUCUUUGCAAUAUAGUGACCAUAGUGCCAGAUGGAGUAGUAAUGUUUUUUACUUCCUAUGAGUAUGAAAAGCAAGUUUAUGAUGCAUGGACGGCUUCAGGUACAAUCUCUAAAAUUUCUAAGAAGAAGUGUGUUUUCAGAGAACCCAAAAACAGUGUUAAUGUCGAAGGGAUACUCAACAAAUACAAGGAGGCAAUUCAGUCGUGUAGCGAACAUUCACAAGGCACAGGGGUCAAUGGGGCACUUCUAUUGGCUGUUGUUGGUGGGAAGAUAUCUGAAGGCAUAAACUUCAGUGAUGGUAUGGGUCGCUGUGUUCUAAUGGUUGGAUUGCCUUAUCCAAGCCCAGAUGAUGUGGAGCUGAUGGAGACAAUAAAGCAUAUAGGAAAUCAUUCAAGCUCAUCUACGGUUGGAGAUAAUAACUCCUUAAGCAGUCAAUAUGACCAUGAAUGCACAGUUGAGCCUGGUUUUGAUACACUAAGGAGGUGCGGUAAAAGUGGGCGAGAGCAUUAUGAGAACUUGUGUAUGAAAGCUGUCAAUCAAUCUAUUGGUAAGCUGCUUCGUCAUUUUAAAUUUUGUGAUGCUGAAAAUAAGUUGUUUCAGUUCUGAGAUGAAGAACUAACUCGCUUGCAGGUAGAGCAAUCAGGCACGUAAAUGACUACGCUGCAAUGCUGUUGGUUGACUCACGCUAUUCAAGCACCUCAUCAAGCAGGAGUUUAUCUUGUCCUGCUGAAAAGUUACCCCAGUGGAUAAAGAGACGACUUACUUGUGGUAAAAACUACGGGGAAGUUCAUAGGUUGUUGCUUCAGUUCUUCAAAAUCAACAAACAAAUGCAUUGAAAAUAUUACGGAUCAUACGAUGUAGGUGUUGCUAUUUAAUGAAGUCGAGUAUAUACAGGUUUGCAUAUUCUUGAUGCAUUUUUGUUUCCCUGAUACUGGUGCGAUGUGUUUAUUUGUCGCUGCCUGCUGAAGAACGAGCGUUCCCAGGUUCAGUUAGCACGCAAAAUCCCAUGUCCUACCUGCCUGUUCGUGCAUGUUUACAUUCCCUCUCAAUCGAACCGUCAUAGAGAAAAUUUAGAUUGUGCCGUAGUAUGUUCAGAUUAGCCUACGAUCACCCCGACCACUCGUUGACUGCAUGUGGCAACGGUGAGAUGGAUCGCAUGCAUGAUCAUGUAGGCAAAUUGCAAGAGGUGAGGGUACAGACUACAGAGGGACCACCGGACCAGGUCACCAGGGAAAUCAGGUUCAUUGGGUUGUUUCAUCGCGGGACAGGGAGGACGAUCCGACGCCUAGUGUCUCCCUCUAAAUUCCUAUUCGCAUUCGUCUUCUUUUUAUUCGCCAGCUGAUACUUCCUAGCGCUAUAAUCUGUGUGAUUGAAUUUUUUUUAAAAUUAUAUUCGAGUGAAUCUGAUUCGGCGGCUCGUCCUACUGAAAAAUAAACAAAUAAGCUGCCCCAUCCCCUUCUACUAAGAGCAAGAUUAAUAGUACAACCAAAUGCUGGCUAAAGUUGAUGUCAUAUUGUCAUGUCAUAUAUAGCUAAUGCGAUACUCCAUUGGCAGGAAAACGAGAAAUGUUCACUCAACUAGAAAUCUUAUACGGUCUCUCAAUCGGCAAAACCAGAUUCUCAAUCGGCAAAACUGGAUAUUUGGUCCCUCUUGGAUUUGAACGGUUUUAACUGUGACGUGAUUUUCCCCGGAUUUUUUUCCACGUCGAACGUCACGAUGGCAUCAGGUUUUCCCACAGAAAUGGUCCGCGAACUUGAAAUCGUAUAUGGUUGGUUCUUGAACUAUGCAUCGUCGCUGUCGGACGUAGAAAAGUUUGAAGGAAAUUGCACCGUAUGGAGUCCAAACCAGUUAAGACUGUUCAAAUCCGGGAGAGGAAGUAAAAGUAUCCGGUUUUGCCAAUUGAGUGACCAAAUUUAUACGAUUUAAAUUUGAUGGACCAUUUCUAGACUUUGAGAGACCAAUAAUAUAUUUUUCUCAGUUAAAAAAUGAUGAUCCUUACUUGGUUAUAUUCUUUGCACUUCUAUUUUUAGGAUAUGUAAACUAAUUUCACUUGUACCACAUGUUUUGUCAUAUUGCUGUUUCUGAAAGUUGAUGUUACCUUUUAUUUUUGGGAAAUGAUGAAAAAUAAUAUGUCUGUGCUAGCUCUUUGAUUAUGCAGCCUGAUUUGUUCGCCAUGUUUCCUUGGUAGUGUUUAUUAUGUUAUAAAAUACUCUAUCCGUCCGGUGCUAAGUAUCGCAACUUUGUCUAGAUACAUGCGUGUCUAGACAUGUUUUAGUAUGUAGAUGCAUACAUGUAUCUGGACAAAGUUGCGUCACUUAAUACCGGACGGAAGGAAUAUUAAUUUUGUAAGCAGACACCGAAAUAAAUCGAAGAAGAUUAUAUGCACCCAGUGUACGCAUAGCUCUUUCGGCAAUCUCAAAAAAGAUGACGUUGUUCAGUAAAAGUAUUGACAUAGCUGCAUCCAAAUAGAUCACUUUUGCGUACUAAUGAUUGAUUUCACUAGAUAUGCAUGUACAUACAUACUCAUGUAUUUAAAUAAAACUAUUUCAAUUAAUUUGGAUGGGAGAACAAACAUCCCUAUUUGCCAGUAUAUUGAAUAUCCCAACCUAUUGUUUCUCUAUUUUCCAUGUAUUCUUGUAACACCAUCCACUUUUUUUCGAGUAAAAUGCAUCAGAAGUUCUAAUUCUUUCGUAAAGGUUUCAAGUUAGUCUUACUUCUUUGAAACUGCACGUUUGAAUCCAAAAUGUUUCAUAAGUGGUGCGACUUGCUACUGACGUGGCUCCUUGGACCCAAAUGUCAGGUGACAAGGUGACUGACUGUUUCUUGCUCCCCCACGAUCCUGUCCUUCUCCCCUGCUUCUCCUUCUUAUCCCAGGCCGAGCCAUGAGCUCCGACGAAGCCCUCUUCCCCGCACACUCUCAAGCUCCCCCAAGCCGAGGCUGCUGCAACCCUCCUCAAGCUCCGCAUCGUCUCCGCUCGCUCUCUCCCUCCGCCUGGACCCACUGCGCAUCCAGGGCCGCCUUCAAUCGUUUCAUCUCCCCUGACUCCGGCAAGAGCGCCGCCUGCGGGCGCUCGCCUCCUCACGGCAUCCCUCUCCUCGCCUCCGCGUCCUGUAGCACCACGCCUCCUCGGCAGAGCUGCCGUCACCCCUCGGCCGAGCCCGUUGCGACCCCGAGCAACGCCGCAAUGAAGACCACCGCCGGCCGCCACUGCUUCACCGUCGUUGGGCCACUCCGGCGCGGGAUCUCCCUCACCGCCGCCGCCAUCAGUCUCCCCACGCUAGCGCGCGCACGGAGAGGUCUCUGGAGCGGAUCUCGCCCCCCCUAUGCCAUCCCCACGUGCGGCAGUGGGGAUUCCCAGGGCCUUCAGUGGGCGUAGGGGAAAGCCCGGGAGGACCGCGUCAACGUGGUCGUGUCCGACGAGCGCGGCUGGGUGUUCGUCGGCAUCUACGACGGCUUCAACGGCCCCGACGCCAAGCGAGCUCCGCAGCCUGCUCUGGAGCAGCAGCAAGAGCACCAGGACCUGCCCACCUCUGCGCCCAACACCACGACCUCGGACCACCAAGACCAGUGCCAGAGUAGCCGGCGAGGAGAUUGCUGGCGAUGGAGAAGCAUGGAAAGAGGAUAGGGUUCACGCCUUCACGGGGUAGAGAAGAGAAGAGAGUCAGGUUUUUUUAAUAAAUGGAAUCCACCUUGUAACCUGACACGUGGACCCAAGGUGUCACGUCGGCAGCAGACACGCGUCCGAGCCACAUUACUUAUGAAACUAUUGGGACUCAAACGUACAGUUUCAAAAAUUUAGAACUAAAUCUUGCUACCUUUACGAAAGAAUUAUGACAUCUCAUGCAAUUUACUUUUUUUUUCUAUCGCGUUGAGAGCCACAAGAAAUUCCAGCGGGGCGGCGAAGCCGCUGAUCCGUCUGGUCGUCUCGACAGUGGAAUGUUUUUCCAGCCAGAUGAUUGCGAACACAUAUAGAAACGCAUUGACAGCCAAUCUCAGGAACGGAAUUGCAGAAUCCAGUCUGGAAAACGAAAAAGAAACCGAGCAACGGUCCUCCAUGUGAGCGGGCCCCACCGCCGGCACAAGGUGCCAUUGCGAUCCCAGCUAGGUCCAGCAGAAAGAGAGCCGUUAUAUACUCAAAUCAAUUAUGAAGGGAAGGGAGAGAGAACGUUAUAUAACCAGAGAAGAUGGGGGGCACAACGGGAAGGAAGCAAAGAGCCAACGACGACAGGUAGGCAGGCAGGCACCUAGAGAGGAUCGGAGAACGCGCACAGGCGGCUGCCAUGGCACGGAGUACCCCCUUCGGUUUCGUCGUCGCCGCGGCGCUCGCCCUCGCCAUCGUGAUGCCGGCCGUCGCCGGGCAGGCCCCCGCGCAGGCGCCCUCCAGCGACGGUAAGCCAUCUCUCAAUCAAAGCACGAUGGACAGCAUCAAGGAAAGUGGCAUGUUCUUCUUUUCGGGAAAUUCUGAUCUGUUUGUUGUGAAUAUAUACUUGCAGCAUCGUCCAUCGACCAAGGCGUCGCGUACCUUCUGAUGAUCCUGGCGCUGGUGCUCACCUACCUCAUCCACCCGUUGGAUGCCUCCUCCCCUUACAAGCUCUUCUGAGUCUCCCAGCAGAGGAUUCUUAUUCUUUUCUUCAUCUUUCCCCCCUCUUCUUUUGAUCGAUAGGCUAGUGGAUUCUUGGUGCUGUGACUGUGAGAUUGGAUUUGGAUUCAUUUGUUGCCUAGUGGACUAGUGUGCGUAUAUUUUUGUUUGCCCGUGUUGUUCCAAUGCUUCUCUGCUGGUCUUUUGGCAUUCAUUUGCCGUGAGGAAAUUAUUGCUUCAGUUUCCAUGUAUUUGCAUCAGAGAUCCCUUGUAUGUAAAAGGAGUAUGGUUGGGCCAUAGCAUGUUCAGCUCAUAAAUCGAGAGCGGCCCACCGUAUUUCUUUGUCGUUAGCUAGCUUUUUCUCGUGUUUGUUUUCUCCAGAAACGCAUCCAACACACACUUACACGGAAUUGGUGAUUAGAGGGACCAAGUAGGCGUCUCAAGUGAAGUUCUCAAAUUCCCCUCGUUUGUCCAAAUCUGUCCAUACUUCAUGAAUAAAAUACAUAGUCCAAUAAAAAUCUCCAUUUAUCUCCAUUUAUCAAAAACCCCACCUGUCACGCGAACAACGCACCUUUUCUCUCUGUCCUCCUCCUCGUCUCCUUCCCCGCCGAAUCUCAUCUAGCUCCAUUUCCAUGGCCUCGCUUAGCCUCCAUUUCCGUGGCGCCCUCGACACCCCUGCUCCCCGCCGUCUGUCUUUCCCAGCGCCCCACCGCCGUGCUCGCCGGCCGCCUCGGCGCUCCCCGCUGCCGCGCUCGCUGGAGCCUCUCACCCUCGAUCUGGAACCUCUGCGACCUCGCCGACCUCCGCGGGUACGAUUGCUAGGCGUGCUUCCCGGCCGGCCGCUUCCUUGAUCCCCCCAACACCAGCCCUUCCAGGUCGCCGGUGCCGUCGUACUGGGCAGCUUCAGCUCCCAGGACGAGGUAGGCCCUCGACCUCUCCUCUCCUCCAGCCCGACGACACUUGCUUCUGGUUGUGGCUAGUCUUGUGUUCUAGUGGGCAGGUGAGCAGCUGUACUGAAUUUGUAUUCGGCACCAAUCUCUGCCCGAUGAAGGCCUUUGUUGUUGCUUGCCUGUUGGUUGUUUGAUUGUGCGAUCAAUCUUUUGACCACUGGAUUGUUGAUUGCAUCUGCCUGCUUGUGAUGAAUAGCUGUCACAAUUCAUUGUCCCUUGCUGUCAAAAUGAGAUCGUAGCAGAGAAGUGGCUGUUGCUAGUGUAUGUCCCUUGUUCAAUUUCAAGCAUGUAGUACUGAUAUUUGGCGUUGCUCUGCAUUUGAUCUUUCGGGCACUGAAGUGAUUUUCCUUUUC
rnacentral:lncRNA from 1 species